AGCCAUGACUCGAAUCUCAUUCAGGAUCCCACAUAACAUAACUCAUUGUUACUAAUUACUACUUACUAGGUUGAUAAACCGUUUCAGCAACUUUUAAUGAUGGUGCUAACGGGUCCCACUAGAAACUAAAACCCCCCAGUAAUACAGUAUAAACCAACCACCGCAACGGGAGCGUGGAAAUCACCGCGGCUCACCGCCGCGUGAAGGCGUCAGAUUAAGAAAAAGUAAAAAAAGAGGAUCAGUUUUUUUUCGUGUACGUCUACUUCUCCUUCCUCGCACACUCGCUCACUCUACUCCUUCCGCCAUAGCUAACGGGAAAAUAGUGAAACUCAAACACCACGAGAUAUUGGAGAGAAGAAGUUGAACUAACUCUUUCGAGGAAACGAGAAAUGACUUCAAAAACGGUGUAGUUUAGACAGGUUUGCUACUUCCUAGCUUCCAAUGCAAUUACGACAGCGUCCCUCCGCCGUGCGCGGCGGUGGCGUGAACUACGCACCGCCGCCUUCACCUCCACCGGUGAAUUCAGUUUACAACAUUAUUCCGGUGCACGACGUCCUUGCUGACCACCCUUCCCAGAGGUCGCCGGAAGUUCGCGCCGCCGCAGCGGCUCUCCGUGCCGUUGGCGACCUACCGAAGCACCCGUACAAUCCAUGGGAGCCGCAGAUGGACCUCUUCGACUGGCUAAGGUUGUUCUUCGGGUUCCAAAACGACAACGCUCGGAACCAGAGGGAGCACCUUGUUCUCCACCUCGCCAACUCGCAGAUGCGGUUGGAGCCGCCGCCUGCCGCCGUCGACGCUCUCGACAGCGGCGUUCUGAAGAAGUUCCGGCGGAAGCUCCUCCGCAACUACACAGCAUGGUGCUCCUACCUCGGCAUGAAAUCGAACGUGAUCUUCCACCGGCGCCGCACGCCCGACGAUCUCUUCCGCCGUGAGCUUCUCUAUGUCUGCCUCUUCCUCCUUGUUUGGGGAGAGUCCGGUAACCUUCGUUUUGCUCCCGAGUGUAUUUCUUAUAUCUUUCAUUUCAUGGCAAAAGAGCUUAACUAUGUUCUUGAUGAGCACAUAGACCCUGACACUGGUCGUCCAUUUUUACCUUCUAUUUCUGGUGAUUGUGCCUUUUUGAAGUCUGUUGUUAUGCCUAUUUACUAUACUGUUAAGACUGAGGUUGAUAGCAGUAGGAAUGGAAAAGCUCCUCACUCUGCAUGGAGGAACUAUGAUGAUAUUAAUGAGUACUUUUGGAGCAAGAGGUGCUUGAAGAAGCUUCAGUGGCCAUUGAAUUUGGAGUGCAAUUUCUUUGGGACUACUCCGAAGAACAAGCGUGUCGGGAAGACGGGAUUUGUGGAGCAGAGGUCAUUCUGGAAUGUUUAUAAGAGCUUUGAUAGGCUUUGGGUCAUGCUCAUUCUGUUCUUGCAGGCUGCAAUCAUUGUUGCUUGGGAGGGGACUGAGUAUCCGUGGGAUGCAUUGGAGAGGAGGGAUGUUCAGGUAAAGAUGUUGACCUUGUUUAUCACUUGGAGUGUGCUAAGGUUGCUUCAGUCGGUGCUUGAUGCUGGGACUCAGUAUAGCAUGGUUACUAGGGAGACUAAAUGGCUUGGAGUUAGGAUGGUACUGAAGGGCAUGGCUGCCAUAACUUGGACUGUUUUGUUCUCUGUCUUUUAUGCAAUGAUUUGGAUUGCAAAGGGUUCUAAUCGAGGUUGGCCAGAUGAGGCAAAUCAGAGGAUCAUUACAUUUCUCAAGGCUGUCCUUUUCUUUCUCAUCCCAGAACUGUUGGCCUUGGUACUCUUCAUAGUUCCAUGGUUACGCAACUUCAUCGAGGAAUUAGACUGGAGUAUUGUAUACUUGUUGACAUGGUGGUUUCAUACUCGGAUUUUUGUGGGUCGUGGUGUGAGACAAGGGCUUGUAGAUAAUAUAAAGUAUACUUGUUUCUGGGUUCUUGUAUUGGUUUCAAAGUUUUCCUUCAGUUAUUUUAUUCAGAUUAAACCUUUAGUUGCACCAACAAAGGCUCUAUUGAAGCUUAGGAUGAAACAUUACAAAUGGCAUGAGUUUUUCAGUAAAACCAACAGAACAGCGGUUGUUUUGCUUUGGUUACCUGUUGUGCUGGUUUACUUCAUGGAUCUGCAGAUAUGGUAUUCUAUUUUCUCUUCCUUGUACGGUGCCACCAUUGGUCUGUUCUCACAUCUGGGUGAAAUUCGGAAUAUCUCACAACUCAGACUUAGGUUCCAGUUCUUCGCAAGUGCAUUGCAGUUCAAUCUGAUGCCAGAGGAGAGGCUUCUAAGUCAAAAAGCAUCACCCAUAAAGAAGCUUCGUGAUGCCGUCCACCGAUUCAGACUGCGUUAUGGACUUGGUGGACCCUACACCAAGAUUGAAUCAAGCCAAGUGGAGGCUACUAGAUUUGCCUUAAUAUGGAAUGAGAUUAUCAUUACUUUCAGGGAGGAAGAUCUCAUCAGUGAUAGAGAAUUUGAGCUCUUGGAACUGCCGCCAAAUUGCUGGAAUAUUAGAGUUAUUCGGUGGCCUUGUUUCCUUCUCUGCAAUGAACUUCUGCUGGCACUCAGUCAGGCAAAGGAGCUGGAAAAUGAGUCUGAUACGUCCCUUUGGUUGAGGAUAUGCAAGAAUGAGUAUCGCCGGUGUGCUGUCAUUGAAGCUUAUGAUAGCAUUAAAUAUUUGUUUCGUGCAAUUAUUAAAGCUGAAAGAGAGUCCGUCAUUGUGAAUAAUAUAUUUGGGGAGAUAGAAACCUACAUUCAGAUGGGCAAGUUAACAGACGCUUACAGAAUGUCUCUGUUACCAAGGAUACAUGAAAAGGUGAGCGAUUUUGUUCAGCUAUUGCUGAAACCAGAGAUCAAUCUGGAUAGAGCUGUAAAUUUGUUGCAAGCCUUGUAUGAGCUGUGUGUGAGAUCAUUCCCGAGGGUGAAGAAGUCCAUCCCCCAACUGAAGGAGGAAGGUCUGGUUCCUGAGGAUCCAGAAUUGCUCUUUGAGAAUGCUAUUCAGUUUCCAGAUGCUGAAGAUACAGUUUUCAUUAAGCAGCUCAGACGGUUGCAUACAAUUCUUACUUCCAGAGACUCAAUGCACAAUGUUCCUUUGAAUCUUGAGGCAAGACGACGGAUUGCUUUCUUUAGCAAUUCCUUGUUUAUGAACAUGCCCCGUGCUCCCAAAGUUGAAAAAAUGAUGGCUUUCAGUAUUUUGACCCCAUAUUAUGAUGAGGAAGUUGUCUAUAGCAAAGAGUCUCUCCGCAAGGAGAACGAGGACGGCGUCACUACCUUAUACUAUUUGCAGAGGAUUUAUGAGGAUGAAUGGAGAAAUUUUAUUGAAAGGAUGCAUAGAGAAGGCUUGGAAGAUGAGGAUGAUAUCUGGACAGCUAAAGCAAGGGACCUUCGCCUUUGGGUAUCUUAUAGAGGUCAAACAUUAUCUCGCACAGUCCGGGGCAUGAUGUAUUAUUAUAGGGCCCUGAAGAUGCUUUCCUUUCUUGAUUCAGCCUCUGAGAUGGACAUAAGACAGGGAUCAGAACAUAUUGGUUCACAUAAUCCAACAAAUCAUAACAGCAGUUUGAAUGACCUAUCCUCAAAUAGGCCUCCAUCUGCACGGAAUCUCAGGAGGGCAGAUAGCAGUGUGGCCCUGUUGUUCAAGGGACAUGAAUAUGGGAGUGCUUUGAUGAAAUUCUCAUAUGUGCUGGCCUGCCAGCUGUAUGGGCGCCAGAAGGCAGAAAAAAAUCCCCGUGCUGAAGAGAUAUUGUAUUUGAUGCAAAAUAAUGAGGCCCUUCGGGUGGCAUAUGUUGAUGAGGUUUCUUUGGGGAGGGAUGAAACUGAAUAUUACUCUGUUCUUGUUAAAUAUGAUCAGCAAUUGCAGAGGGAGGUUGAAAUUUAUCGGAUCAGAUUGCCUGGACCUUUGAAACUCGGAGAAGGGAAGCCAGAGAAUCAGAAUCAUGCAAUAAUCUUUACACGGGGUGAUGCAGUUCAGACCAUUGAUAUGAACCAGGACAAUUAUUUUGAGGAGGCUCUCAAAAUGCGAAAUUUGUUGGAGGAGUUUAACAUCCACUAUGGUAUUAGGAAGCCAACCAUUUUGGGGGUCCGAGAGAAUAUCUUCACUGGUUCUGUUUCAUCUCUUGCUUGGUUCAUGUCAGCACAAGAGACAAGUUUUGUGACACUAGGCCAGCGUGUUUUAGCAAACCCCUUGAAAGUAAGAAUGCACUAUGGUCACCCGGAUGUGUUUGAUAGAUUCUGGUUCUUAGGUCGGGGUGGAGUGAGCAAGGCCUCUAGAGUCAUCAAUAUCAGUGAAGAUAUUUUUGCUGGAUUCAAUUGUACACUGCGCGGUGGCAAUGUAACACAUCAUGAAUAUAUACAGGUAGGCAAAGGAAGAGAUGUUGGUUUGAAUCAGAUAUCCAUGUUUGAAGCAAAGGUUUCUAGUGGCAACGGUGAGCAAAUUCUAAGCAGAGAUGUUUACCGGCUGGGCCAUAGAUUGGAUUUCUUUCGCAUGCUCUCAGUGUUCUACACAACUGUAGGAUUUUAUUUCAACUCCAUGGUUAUUGUACUGACAGUCUAUGCCUUCCUUUGGGGCCGCCUUUAUAUGGCUCUCAGUGGCAUUGAGGGGGAAGCCAUGAAUAAUGCUACCAACAAUAAAGCCCUUGGUGCUGUCAUAAAUCAGCAGUUUAUAAUCCAGCUUGGUCUUUUCACUGCUCUGCCAAUGAUCGUGGAGAACACUCUUGAGCAUGGAUUCCUUCCAGCUGUGUGGGAUUUCUUGACGAUGCAGUUGCAGCUUGCAUCAUUAUUCUAUACAUUUUCCUUGGGAACCCGUUCCCAUUACUUUGGUCGCACUAUACUUCAUGGGGGUGCAAAGUACCGGGCCACUGGUCGUGGUUUUGUGGUGGAGCACAAAAGUUUUGCUGAGAACUAUCGGUUAUAUGCACGAAGCCAUUUUGUGAAGGCUAUUGAACUUGGAGUUAUUUUAAUUGUAUAUGCAUCUCAUAGUCCAUUGGCCAAGAAUACUUUUGUGUACAUAGCAAUGACGAUCUCAAGUUGGUUUCUUGUAGUUUCCUGGAUAAUGUCCCCCUUUGUUUUUAAUCCUUCUGGGUUUGAUUGGUUGAAGACAGUAUAUGACUUUGAGGAUUUUAUGAAUUGGAUAUGGUAUCCAGGUGGCCCAUUCAAGAAGGCAGAAUAUAGCUGGGAAACAUGGUGGUAUGAAGAACAAGACCAUUUGAGAACAACAGGUAUCUGGGGAAAGCUGUUGGAAAUCAUCUUAGAUAUUCGAUUCUUCUUCUUUCAGUAUGGUAUCGUUUAUCAGCUAGGUAUUGCAAAUGGCGAUACCAGUAUAAGUGUCUACUUGCUGUCGUGGAUAUACAUGGUUGUGGUUGUUGGUAUUUAUAUUAUCAUGGCAUAUGCACGGGAUAAAUAUGCUACAAAGGAGCACAUAUAUUAUCGACUGGUUCAGUUUCUAGUGAUCGUGGUCACAGUUCUUGUACUUGUUCUCUUACUAGAGUUCACUAAAUUCAAAUUUGUUGAUCUUAUCACAAGCAUGAUGGCGUUCAUUCCCACUGGCUGGGGAAUGAUUUCAAUUGCUCUGGUGCUCAGACCAUUUCUACAGUCUACUAUGAUAUGGGAGACUGUGGUUUCCCUAGCCCGGCUGUAUGAUUUGAUGUUUGGGAUUAUUGUUAUGGCUCCUGUGGCAGUGCUUUCAUGGUUACCUGGAUUUCAAUCAAUGCAAACUAGGAUUCUCUUCAAUGAAGCCUUCAGCAGGGGUCUUCAGAUAUCUAGAAUACUUACUGGCAAGAAGUCUGCUUAAAAUGUCACAGCAAAGACAAAGGUUACGGCCUUGCUGGUGAGAGAUGGGUUUCUGUAGUUUCCCACGUAGUUUUGUCAAGAAUCCUGUAACAUGUUAUUGGACCUGUAAAAGAAAUAGAGAGAAGGUUAUGGACAACUAGACACUAGCAUCAGGUGGCGACUUUGACUGUUUGUAACCAUGAUGAACGGAUGCCUAUAUAUAAACCCAUGUUGUGCUUUCUCAAACCGGCUUAGCCUUCUCUCCGGAAUAGUGAUAGCUUAUGUACAAUCACCCAAUGUUCUGUAGAGUAUUAUAAUUAUCAAUCAACUUGCUGUACAUCUUGUUAGAGUGCAACCUUAUCUAACUAUAUACUUCAUUCUCACGUCUUCAUUGAUUUUCUAGGCUCUUCUACUUUCGUUUGACAGCUGCUGCAAAUAUUGGACACGUUAAAAAUUAUUAUAUAUAAAUCUCAAAUUCUUA